ACAGAUAACAAAGAAUUGUAAAGAAUCAAGCUUUUUCAGCAAUGGUUUCCACGGUGUUUGCUUAACUGGGAACAGUGAAGUCGAUGUUAAGAAGAGGUGGUCUGUGUAUUGCCUGGAUGAUUGCUUGAUCACCCCAGUUGCAAAUGAGGGAGGAGCUGUGAUUGCAAGAAAUCCAUCAGACUGGAGGAGAGAGUGGGGCAGGCAAACAGAUAUUUCAUUCUUCAAAUCAGGUAACCUCAUCAACACUGAUGAUGACACGUAGUUUGGAUAAUGAAAUAUCUGCAAGAAAAUAACCAAACUCAGAGAACACCAAGGACUCCUCAAAGAGUAAAAGAAAGAUGACAAUCCCAGUUUCUAGGAGCUGAUGGUGAGAUCGGGUGCAUAUAAACUGUCAAAGAAAGUAUGCCUCAAAGUAGCUCAAGUUGAGGCAUACUUGAGUACUUGCUGAAGAAACAACAUGUAAGUCUACAUGUAAAUUUAAUUGCUUGAUGCACCUUCCCUUUUAAUAAACAUGAUG